GGACAGAACUGUUCAGAAAACUGUGAGGAGAAAUCAUCAAAUUGAUGCUUUAUAACUAUCAGCUUUUGAAGAGAACACGCUUUGAUUUCGCAGAAGCCAACUGACAGCCAUAAGAUCGUGAGGUAACAGCCUCUGUGUUCAAAAGUCUGAUAAUCAAACCAUGUCAAAUCCUAAUCUUGGAGAUAUAUCACAACCAGAGACAAAGAGCAAUGUUGUCGCUGGGAGCGCGAAUGAAGGAGAACCAGUUUACUCAAACAUACAGGGAGGCACCAAAAGGGUAGAGCACGUAGAUUUGAAAGAAAAUCCUGCUGCUCCCAUUCAGCCACACAAAUGCCUGACAGACAUCAGCUUAAUAAAACCUACUUCGGAUGUUGUCACUGUACCUGGAAGAACACAGUUACUGCAGAAUGUGGAUAAUUUGGGUCUCCCAAGAUCAAGAUGCAUUUCAAAUUCAAUUGAUGAAGGGGGAAUGGAAAGCAC